GACGAGGGGUCCAAGCGUUGUUCGGAAUCAUUGGGCGUAAAGCGGGUGUAGGUGGCUUUGUAAGUCAGAAGUGAAAUCCCCGAGCUUAACUCGGGAAGUGCUUUUGAAACUGUAAAGCUUGAAUGUGGGAGAGGAUCGUGGAAUUCCAGGUGUAGUGGUGAAAUACGUAGAUAUCUGGAGGAACACCGGUGGCGAAGGCGGGUCUCUGGGCCGAUAUUGACGCUGAGGAGCGAAAGCGUGGGGAGCGAACAGG
rnacentral:rRNA from 1 species